CGGCGAGUGAAGAGGAAAGAGCUCAAAGUUGGAACCUGUUUGGCUUAGCUAAACCGGAUUGUAAACUGUAGAAGUGUUUUCCUGACACGCCAGAUAAAUAAGUCCUUUGGAACAGGGCAUCAUAGAGGGUGAGAAUCCCGUCUUUGGUCUGAGCUGUUGUCUUUUGUGAUACAUUUUCAAAGAGUCAGGUUGUUUGGGAAUGCAGCCUAAAUAGGGAGGUAAAUCUCUCCUAAAGCUAAAUAUUUGCGAGAGACCGAUAGCGAACAAGUACCGUGAGGGAAAGAUGAAAAGAACUUUGAAAAGAGAGUUAAACAGUAUGUGAAAUUGUUAAAAGGGAACCGUUUGGAGCCAGACUGGCUUGACUGUAAUCAAUCUAGAUCUUUCUGGAUGCACUUGCAGUUUAUGCCUGCCAACGACAAUUUUUUCUGGGAGAAAAAACUAGGAGGAAUGUAGCCCUUCGGGGUGUUAUAGCUUCUUAGAAAAUAUCCUGGAUUGGAUUGAGGAUCGCCUUAGGUUGUUGGCUUAAUGACUCUAAAUGACCCGUCUUGAAACACGGACCAAGGAGUCCACCAUAAGUGCAAGUAUUUGGGUGCCAAACCCAUAUGCGCAAGGAAACUGAUUGAUACGAAAUCUUUAAAUGGCAGUAUCACCCCGGCGUUGACGUUUUAUACUGAACUGACCGAGGUAAAGCACUUAUGAUGGGACCCGAAAGAUGGUGAACUAUGCCUGAAUAGGGUGAAGCCGGAGGAAACUCCGGUGGAGGCUCGUAGCGAUUCUGACGUGCAAAUCGAUCGUCAAAUUUGGGUAUAGGGGCGAAAG
rnacentral:rRNA from 1 species